rnacentral:rRNA from 1 species
UACGUAGGGGACGAGCGUUGUCCGGAAUUACUGGGCGUAAAGGGCGCGCAGGCUGUAGAUCAAGUCAGCUGUGAAAUGUCUGGGCUUAACCCGGGCAUGCGGUUGAAACUGAUGUACUGGAGUGCUGUAGAGGCAAGUUGAAUUCCCAGUGUAGCGGUGAAAUGCGUAGAUAUUGGGAAGAACACCGGUGGCGAAGGCGACUUGCUGGGCAGCAACUGACGCUGAGGCGCGAAAGCCAGGGGAGCAAACGGGAUUAGA